rnacentral:snRNA from 1 species
CACAUAUAUUAAAAAUUGGAAUGAUACAGAGAGGAUAGCAUGGCCCCUGCACAAGGAUGACAUAUGAAGCAGUCCAUAUUAAA